rnacentral:rRNA from 1 species
CGAUGACCCGGUGCUUGCACCGGUGAUUAGUGGCGAACGGGUGAGUAACACGUGAGUAACCUGCCCUUAACUCUGGGAUAAGCCUGGGAAACUGGGUCUAAUACCGGAUAUGACUCCUCAUCGCAUGGUGGGGGGUGGAAAGCUUUAUUGUGGUUUUGGAUGGACUCGCGGCCUAUCAGCUUGUUGGUGAGGUAAUGGCUCACCAAGGCGACGACGGGUAGCCGGCCUGAGAGGGUGACCGGCCACACUGGGACUGAGACACGGCCCAGACUCCUACGGGAGGCAGCAGUGGGGAAUAUUGCACAAUGGGCGCAAGCCUGAUGCAGCGACGCCGCGUGAGGGAUGACGGCCUUCGGGUUGUAAACCUCUUUCAGUAGGGAAGAAGCGAAAGUGACGGUACCUGCAGAAGAAGCGCCGGCUAACUACGUGCCAGCAGCCGCGGUAAUACGUAGGGCGCAAGCGUUAUCCGGAAUUAUUGGGCGUAAAGAGCUCGUAGGCGGUUUGUCGCGUCUGCCGUGAAAGUCCGGGGCUCAACUCCGGAUCUGCGGUGGGUACGGGCAGACUAGAGUGAUGUAGGGGAGACUGGAAUUCCUGGUGUAGCGGUGAAAUGCGCAGAUAUCAGGAGGAACACCGAUGGCGAAGGCAGGUCUCUGGGCAUUAACUGACGCUGAGGAGCGAAAGCAUGGGGAGCGAACAGGAUUAGAUACCCUG